rnacentral:rRNA from 1 species
CCUACUGGAGACAUCAUUGAGGCAUCUUGGUCAAUGGGCGCGAGCCUGAACCAGCCAAGCCGCGUGAGGUCCUCCUUUCCUCUUCCUUUUCCCCCUCUUUUUUCCUUUCUCCCAAUACGCCCCUCUUGGCGUUCCGAGAGUACUCGAAGAAAAAGCAUCGGCUAACUCCGUGCCAGCAGCCGCGGUAAUACGUAGGAUGCGAGCGUUAUCCGGAUUUAUUGGGUUUAAAGGGUGCGCAGGCGGACGAUCAAGUCAGCGGUAAAAUUGAGGGGCUCAACCCCUUCGAGCCGUUGAAACUGGUUUUCUUGAGAGGGCGAGAGGUAUGCGGAAUGCGUGGUGUAGCGGUGAAAUGCAUAGAUAUCACGCAGAACUCCGAUUGCGAAGGCAGCAUACCGGCGCUCAAAUGACGCUCAUGCACGAAAGUGUGGGUAUCGAUCAGGAUUAGAGAAAAGGGGAGUC